UCUUCUCCCAUUCAUCUGCUGGCUUCUCUCUGCAACCAAACCAACCCCAGCAAGCGUCAUAAGCCACUUGUUACCUGGUACACCAUUUUUCUUUUUUGUGAUGGCAGCAGCAGAACACUCAUCCCAGAGGAAUUCCAAUACUCAGCUUUUGGAAGAGCUCGAAGCACUCAGCCAAUCUCUCUACCAAACCCACUCUACCACCAACCGAAGAACUGCCUCACUCGCACUUCCUCGAACUUCUGUUCCCACACUCGCUUCCGUCGAUGAGACCACCACAGCCAAAGUUAAUGAUAAUUCCACCUCCAGACCCCGCUUCAGGCGCAUGUCCUUGUCGCCAUGGCGUUCUCGGCCAAAGCCUGAUGAUAAUGGCGCAAAACCAUCUGAUCAACCUGGCGCCAAGAAACUGGAUGAAACAGCUACUUCAACCGAGAAGAAAGGACUUUGGAACUGGAAGCCAAUCCGUGCUCUUUCUCACAUUGGGAUGCAGAAACUGACCUGUUUGUUCUCGGUUGAAGUAGUCGCUAUACAAGGCCUUCCAGCUUCGAUGAAUGGGCUCCGACUUUCCGUUUGUAUUAGGAAGACAGAAACCAAGGACGGUGCGGUUCACACGAUGCCAUCAAGGGUUUCGCAGGGAGCUGCCGAUUUUGAAGAGACCCUGUUUGUUAAGUGUCAUGUGUAUUGCACUUCAGGCAAUGGAAAGGAGCUGAAAUUCGAGCCCCGUCCGUUUUGGAUUUAUGCGUUUGCAGUUGAUGCUGGAGAGCUUGAUUUCGGGAGAGGUUCCGUUGAUUUGAGUCGCCUCAUUCAGGAAUCAAUGGAGAAGAAUCAAGAAGGUACUCGGAUUCGACAGUGGGACACAAGUUUCAAUCUUUCUGGAAAGGCUAAAGGAGGAGAACUUGUUCUCAAGUUGGGAUUUCAGAUUAUGGAGAAGGAUGGAGGGAUUGAUAUUUACAGUCAGGAUGACAAACUGAAGCCAAGUAAAUCCAGAAAUUUCACAUCUUUUGGCCGUAAACAGUCGAAAACAUCAUUCAGUAUCCCCAGUCCAAGGAUGUCAAGUCGAAGUGAAGCUUGGACUCCUCCUCAGACAAAAUCAGCAGCGGAUCUUCAAGGAAUAGAUGACUUGAAUCUUGAUGAGCCAGCCCCAGUUCCUUCCUCAUCUCCAUCAGUUCAGAAAUCACAAGUUCCAGAACCGAAGAUUGAAGAACUUGAACUCCCAGAAUUUGAUGUUGUGGAUAAAGGAGUUGAGAUUCAAGAGAAAGAAGAGUCUGAAGAAAAUGUUGAAGCAAAGUCUGCAUCAAGUGAAGUUGUCAAGGAGAUGGUGCAUGAUCAGGUACAUCUUACCAGAUUAAAUGAGCUUGAUUCAAUUGCUCAGCAGAUAAAAGCACUUGAAUCUAUGAUGGGAGAAGAAAAAAUAGUUAAAAUAGAAGAUGAAAGUGAAUCACAAGGACUAGAUGCAGAUGAAGAGACUGUCACAAGAGAAUUUUUUCAGAUGCUUGAGGAUGAAGGGAUUAACACAUACAAAUUCAAUCAACCUAAAACUCCACCUCUGCCUCUGGGUGAAACUGAUGAUUCCACAGAUUCUGAGUCCAAAGUAUAUCUGUCUGAUCUCGGCAAGGGUUUAGGCUGUGCAGUGCAAACAAGAAAUGGAGGCUACUUAGCAGCCAUGAAUCCACUAGAUACUGUUGUUGCAAGGAAAGACACUCCAAAAUUAGCGAUGCAGAUUUCAAAACCAAUUAUUAUUCCAUCGCACAAAUCCAUGAAUGGUUUUGAAUUAUUUCAGAAAAUGGCAGCCAUUGGUUUUGAGGAACUCAGCUCUCAAAUCUUGUCAUUGAUGCCCAUGGAUGAACUGAUUGGGAAAACCGCAGAACAGAUAGCUUUUGAAGGCAUAGCUUCUGCAAUCAUCCAAGGGAGAAACAAAGAAGGUGCUAGUUCCAGUGCUGCUCGUACCAUUGCUUCUGUAAAAACCAUGGCAAACGCUAUGAAUACAGGCAGGAAGGAUAGGAUUUUUACAGGAAUUUGGAAUGUAGAUGAAAAUCCGUUGACAGCAGAGGAAAUUUUGGCUUUCUCGUUGCAGAAGAUUGAGGCAAUGUCAGUUGAGGCCUUGAAAAUUCAGGCAGAAAUGGCAGAGGAAGAUGCUCCAUUUGAUGUUUCUCCACUCAAUGAAAAGACAAGCGCAGGUGGUAAGCAUAAUCAUCCUCUGGCUUCUGCCAUUCCACUUGAGGACUGGAUAAAAAAUUACAGCUCAUCUACUUUGGAUGGUGAGUCAGGGGACCUUGCAACAAUCACAGUAGUAGUGGUUGUCCAGCUACGGGAUCCCUUGAGGCGAUAUGAGGCAGUUGGAGGUCCUGUGGUAGCACUUGUUCAUGCAAUAUGCACUGACAACAAAGAAGACAAGUAUAAUGAGGAAAAGAAAUUCAAAGUGACAAGUUUACAUGUUGGAGGUUUGAAGUUAAGAACAGGAGGAAAGAACAUGUGGGACUCAGAGAAGCAGAGGGUGACUGCAACGCAGUGGCUGGUGGCGCAUGGACUGGGAAAGGGAGGAAAGAGGGGGAAACAUGUGUUAAUAAAGGGGAAAGAUCUGUUGUGGAGCAUUUCCUCAAGAAUAAUGGCUGAUAUGUGGCUCAAACCAAUGAGAAAUCCAGACGUAAAGAUUACAAACAAAGUCUAGAAUAAAGUUCGUUCUUAUAUUGUACUCACGAUGCUCACAGCAACAUGAAAGUGAAAUAGAAGAGUGGAGCUAGAGCAUGCAGGCAAUAGUAAGGAAGCUUUCUUGUUGGGAUGCAGGCAGCAAAAUACCAUUUGUAAGAUUCUAGAUAUAAUAAGUCUUCAAAUAUAUAAGUUCUUUAUUAUAUAAGAUUUGUUAACUGCAAGUACACUUUGUUCAAACUCUUCAUAAUGGAAAAUACAGUUCCCAGAUUUCGAUAUUUCAAUUAUUCACCACUGACAUGUGGCAUCUAAACUACUACAUAUAACAUUCAAAUAUAGAUGGACAAAAAGAUAGAAAGGAAACAAGAUCUUAAUUCCAUAAUCUUCAACACCAGUUAUCUCCAUAAGAGCAAGAUCUUUCAUGAAAUUAGGAAAUGCAUGUCCAUCCCCGAGUAUAAUUAUCCUUGAUGCAAAAAGGGAAUCAACUUGAUUAUCAAGUGUUAAUCAGUGUGCUGAUCAACCGACAGCAUGUUUCUUGCUAUUAUGACUCCAAGAACCAGUAGAACUAAUUGUACUAAUAGCUUCUUGUAACUUCCAUCUUAUCAUGAAUGUCACCUAAAAUCGCAUAAAUGUCCUUGAUUUGAGGGUGAUUGGCCUCAUCGACAGUAAAUACAUGUACCCUGUUAUUAAUUUCUAUCCAGCUACAACCAGGAUUGCCCUGGAUCCCUUUCUCUCUCAUCAGUUUUCUCACAUCUGCAACACCUUCUAAUUUGCCACACUCUGAAUAUACAUGUGCUAGAAGUAUAUAAAUUCCAGAUUUAUCUACAUUCAAUUCAAGCAAGUUCCUUACUGCAAAUUCUGCUAAUUUUGGGUUGCAAUGUAUCUUGCAAGCGCUGAGCAGUGCUCCCCAAACAUCAGCAUUCGGCUUAAAAGGCAUUUCAAAAAUCAAACUUUUAGCCUGCUCUAGCAGCCCAGCCCGGCCAAGUAGGUCUACCAUGCAUGCAAAAUGUUCAUGCGUUGGAAAGAUGCCAUAGUCUCUAGUCAUGGACUCAAAGUAAUGUUUCCCUUCUGUUACUAGCCCUGAAUAGCUACAACCUGAUAAAACAGAUAUGUAGCUUAUAGAAUCAGGUGUAUAUUCCAUCUUUAACAUAUUCUUGAAAAUCUCUAUCACAAUCCUACCUUGACCAUUUUGAGCAUAUCCAGCCAUCAUUGAAUUCCAAGAAACCAAAUCUUUCAUACUUAUGGAAUCAAAAACUUUUCGUGCAUCUUCAAUUUGUCCACAUCUUGAAUACAUUGUAACAACACUAUUUGCAACAGAAACAUCAGAACCAAACCCAAAUUUCUCCGCAUGAGCUAUGAUUUGGAUUCCAACUUUUAACAUUGCUAAAUCAGCACAGGCACUUAUUGAAGUUGCAAAAGUAAUGUCAUCUGGCAUAACACAUUCCUUGUGCAUCUGUAAAUAAAAUUUGAGACCACAUUCCCAAAAUCCAUUUUGAAUAUACAUACUUAUCAUGGAGUUCCAGGUUAUGACAUUCCGCUCUAGCAUUUUAUCAAAACAAGCCUGUGCUUUUUCAACAUCACCCACUUGAGAGAAUGCAGUGAUCAUAGAUGUCCAGGAUAUUAUAUUACUGACUGGCAUCAUUUCAAAUGCGUAAUUUGCCUUCUGAGAAUCACCACAUUUUGAGUACAUUUUAAUAAGAGCAUUCCCCAUUGAAACAAAGGAAUCCAUUCCGGUCUUAAUUGUAAGUGCAUGAAGUUGUCCGCCAACAGAAAUAUUGUUUGGAUAUGAACAAACCUUCAGAACUGUGGUAAGAGUAAACUCAUCCAAGGCAACAGGAACCUUUCUCAUUUGGUUAAAUAGUAUUAGUGCUUCUUCUUCAAGCCCACACUGUGCAACUCCUCCAAUCAAAGAAGUCCAUGUAACUGAAUUAUGCUCUGUUAAACUGUUCAAUGCUUGCCUAGCAAACUCUAAAUUUCCACAUUUUGCAUACAUAUCAAUCAGACCAUUACUCACAUAAACAUCAAGAACGCUUUCUGUUCGAACAAUUCGAGCAUGCAAAUGAGUACCCCAUUCCAGUUCACAAAAGCUUGCACAUGUACUAAGGACGCAAGCAUAUGUCAUGGAAUUGGGUCUAAAACCUUGAGUCCACAUCUCAACAAACAUACUAAGAGUUGGAACACAAAAUCCGUGCUGAGACAAGAUUGAAAUCAUUGUGUUCCAAGAUACACUGUCACGUUCUGGCAUUUGGUUGAACAAGUCAAGAGCCCUUCCAACCCCAUAAAAUUUGGAAUAACCGUAAAUCAUACUAUUAAAGCAAAACAAAUUUGGAUUCGGGAUCCUCAAAAACACUAGCUCUGCAUAUCUCACCGCAUCACACUUAACAUACAUAUCCAGAACAGACGUUUCAAUUGAUGUAUCACUGCCAAAAUCAAUUUUCUCCAAAAGCCCAUGCAACUGAAAAGCCAAUUUGAUAUAACCAAGAGCACCACAAGCCUUCAUGGCACAAGAGAAUGACAGCAAAUUCGUGAUACUUGAACAAUCUCGAAUCAGCGAAAUAAAAACCCUUAGAGCCUCCUCAGGCCUCCCAUUUCGGAAAUAACCCGACAUCAUAGAGUUCCAAGAAACAGAGUCUCUGUCAGGCAUUUCAUCAAACAACUUCUUCGCAUCUCCUAUUCGAACCGCAUUACACAGCCCACUAAUAAUCAUGUUGUAUGUAACAACAUUGCGAAACCCCAUCUCAGCAAAAACCCGCAAAGCAUCAUCUAUUAAACCAAAAUUGAAGUACAUAUUCAAAAGAUGGUUCUGAAGGAAAACGGAAAAGUAUAAUCCUGAAGGGAUAAGCUGCGCAUGAAGUUUUCGAGCGAUGGGUAUUGACGCACAUUCUUGCAUUGCUUUGUAGAAGUUGUGGGAGAGUUGCAUGUAAGAAGAUUGUUGAGCAGAGGCGGGAUUUUGUUGAAUGGAGAAGGAACGAAGAGAAGGAGGCCGGUGGAGGUGUGAGAAUUGAUAAAUUCUCAGCCGACGCCAUGAGAGCUUGGUGAUCAUUCGAUAUUAGAAGAUUUCAUUUCCUUGUGCAUUGCGCGCCAAAUUAACCAACCCGUUUAAAUCAACCAUUUAGCAUGCCAGUUAUUGAUUAAAAAUAUAUGAAUGCCUCGAAACUCUUAUCUUUUCCGUCUACCAUUACAAUAGGAACAGUUGCCUCGCUUAAAGAAGACAAGAUAA
rnacentral:misc_RNA from 1 species